rnacentral:rRNA from 1 species
GACGAACGCUGGCGGCGUGCUUAACACAUGCAAGUCGAACGGAAAGGCCCUGCUUUUGUGGGGUUCUCGAUUGGCGAACGGGUGAGUAACACGUGAGUAACCUGCCCUUGACUUUGGGAUAACUUCAGGAAACUGGGGCUAAUACCGGAUAGGAGCUCCUGCUGCAUGUUGGGGGUUGGAAAGUUUCGGCGGUUGGGGAUGGACUCGCGGCUUAUCAGCUGGUUGGUGGGGUAGUGGCUUACCAAGGCUUUGACGGGUAGCCGGCCUGAGAGGGUGACCGGCCACAUUGGGACUGAGGUACGGCCCAGACUCCUACGGGAGGCAGCAGUGGGGAAUAUUGCACAAUGGGCGGAAGCCUGAUGCAGCAACGCCGCGUGCGGGAUGACGGCCUUCGGGUUGUAAACCGCUUUCGCCUGUGACGAAGCGUGAGUGACGGUAAUGGGUAAAGAAGCACCGGCUAACUACGUG